UGUUAGCUCAGGGACUAUCUUGCUCAAGCAAAAAGAGGAAGAUUGGCAACAGAUGUUAGCUUGGGGCCAAUCUUCCUCACCAAAAAAAAAAAAAAAAAAGCUAUCUUUUUCUUAAAAUGUGAAAUUUUUAUAGUAACUUUUUUUCUUGCUACCGCUGUUUCCAUUUAUGGAUUGACACUAGGGACCCCCAACUUCUAGUCAGGAGCAGAAUGCCCCUCUGGAUAACUAUCUAAAGGUUUAAUAAUAAGUUCAGGUGGAAAAAAAUCUAUAUUUCAAGUGAUCAUUCCUUAUUCACAACUUCCUUAGAUGGACCUACAAAAUGGCUUCUGCUGCAGCCUAAAAACUGUAUUUAGGGGGACAUACAUGUAUAUGUGUGCGUGUAUGGCUGGUGAAAGGUCAGGAGUUGAGGAACUUGAAGAAGUACCUAUGAACGCAAAGCAUGGACUCUAUCACGGCAUAUCAGCCAAAUAUUCCUGA
rnacentral:lncRNA from 1 species